CCAAGGAGUCCGACGUGUGCGCGAGUCGCGACCAUGCACAUGGUCGGGCGAUAGUGAAGGCGAUGCUCUGGUCUAGCGAUCACGAGGUACGAUCCCGCGAGAAUCGCUGUCUCCGGGCGCAGUACCGGCCCGUCCAUACGGCCGACACCUCGAUCGUCGUUCGCGGCGGUCGCUGCGGAGGCUGGACGGCGUUAGAGCGCAGACGUUGGUACCCGAAAGAUGGUGAUCUAUAGCUGAGCGGGGUGAAGCCGACUUCUGUCGGUGGAGGUCCGCCGCGGUUCUGACGUGCAAAUCGAUCGUCGAACUUGGCUAUAGGGGCGAAAGACCAAUCGAACCAUCUA
rnacentral:rRNA from 1 species